AAAUUGAAGAGUUUGAUCAUGGCUCAGAUUGAACGCUGGCGGCAGGCCUAACACAUGCAAGUCGAGCGGAAACGAGUUAACUGAACCUUCGGGGGACGUUAACGGCGUCGAGCGGCGGACGGGUGAGUAAUGCCUAGGAAAUUGCCCUGAUGUGGGGGAUAACCAUUGGAAACGAUGGCUAAUACCGCAUAAUGCCUUCGGGCCAAAGAGGGGGACCUUCGGGCCUCUCGCGUCAGGAUAUGCCUAGGUGGGAUUAGCUAGUUGGUGAGGUAAGGGCUCACCAAGGCGACGAUCCCUAGCUGGUCUGAGAGGAUGAUCAGCCACACUGGAACUGAGACACGGUCCAGACUCCUACGGGAGGCAGCAGUGGGGAAUAUUGCACAAUGGGCGCAAGCCUGAUGCAGCCAUGCCGCGUGUAUGAAGAAGGCCUUCGGGUUGUAAAGUACUUUCAGCAGUGAGGAAGGUGGUGUAGUUAAUAACUGCAUCACUUGACGUUAGCUGCAGAAGAAGCACCGGCUAACUCCGUGCCAGCAGCCGCGGUAAUACGGAGGGUGCGAGCGUUAAUCGGAAUUACUGGGCGUAAAGCGCAUGCAGGUGGUCUGUUAAGUCAGAUGUGAAAGCCCGGGGCUCAACCUCGGAAUUGCAUUUGAAACUGGCAGACUAGAGUACUGUAGAGGGGGGUAGAAUUUCAGGUGUAGCGGUGAAAUGCGUAGAGAUCUGAAGGAAUACCGGUGGCGAAGGCGCCCCCUGGACAGAUACUGACACUCAGAUGCGAAAGCGUGGGGCAAACAGGAUUAGAUACCCUGGUAGUCCACGCCGUAAACGAUGUCUACUUGGAGGUUGUGGCCUUGAGCCGUGGCUUUCGGAGCUAACGCGUUAAGUAGACCGCCUGGGGAGUACGGUCGCAAGAUUAAAACUCAAAUGAAUUGACGGGGGCCCGCACAAGCGGUGGAGCAUGUGGUUUAAUUCGAUGCAACGCGAAGAACCUUACCUACUCUUGACAUCCAGAGAAGCCAGUAGAGAUACAGGUGUGCCUUCGGGAACUCUGAGACAGGUGCUGCAUGGCUGUCGUCAGCUCGUGUUGUGAAAUGUUGGGUUAAGUCCCGCAACGAGCGCAACCCUUAUCCUUGUUUGCCAGCGAGUAAUGUCGGGAACUCCAGGGAGACUGCCGGUGAUAAACCGGAGGAAGGUGGGGACGACGUCAAGUCAUCAUGGCCCUUACGAGUAGGGCUACACACGUGCUACAAUGGCGCAUACAGAGGGCAGCAAGCAAGCUAGCGAUAGUGAGCGAAUCCCAAAAAGUGCGUCGUAGUCCGGAUUGGAGUCUGCAACUCGACUCCAUGAAGUCGGAAUCGCUAGUAAUCGUGGAUCAGAAUGCCACGGUGAAUACGUUCCCGGGCCUUGUACACACCGCCCGUCACACCAUGGGAGUGGGCUGCAAAAGAAGUAGGUAGUUUAACCUUCGGGAGAACGCUUACCACUUUGUGGUUCAUGACUGGGGUGAAGUCGUAACAAGGUAGCCCUAGGGGAACCUGGGGCUGGAUCACCUCCUUA
rnacentral:rRNA from 1 species